GGGCACUCUAAGGAGACUGCCGGUGACAAACCGGAGGAAGGUGGGGAUGACGUCAAGUCAUCAUCGGCCCUUACGGCCUGGGCUACACACGUGCUACAAUGGUCGGUACAAAGGGUUGCCAAGCCGCGAGGUGGAGCUAAUCCCAUAAAACCGAUCGUAGUCCGGAUCGCAGUCUGCAACUCGACUGCGUGAAGUCGGAAUCGCUAGUAAUCGUGAAUCAGAAUGUCACGGUGAAUACGUUCCCGGGCCUU
rnacentral:rRNA from 1 species